rnacentral:rRNA from 1 species
UCUGGUAUGAAAGGUUUGACGAGGGAACAACUGUCUCAGUUUAAUUUUUUUUGAAAUUUAUUUUUAAGUUAGAAAGCUUAAAUAUUUUUAAAAGACGAGAAGACCCUAUAGAGUUUUAUAAAUUAUAUUAGUUGAUGCUUUUUAGUAUAUUUUGGGUUGAUUAAUUUACUUUAUUUUGUUGGGGUGAUAGAAAAAUUAGAUUAACUUUUUUUAUUUGAAACAAUUAUAUUUGAUUGAAUGAUCCGCUUAGGCGAUUAAAAGAUUAAAUUACCUUAGGGAUAACAGCGA